GUUUGCCUGUGUGUGGAUGGUGUUCAGCACCAGGGACAGGUGUGUUUGCCUGUGUGUAGAUGGUGUUCAGCACCAGGGACAAGUAUGUUUGCCU
rfam:Branchiostoma floridae genomic scaffold BRAFLscaffold_142, whole genome shotgun sequence.